AAGUCGUAACAAGGUAACCGUAGGUGAACCUGCGGUUGGAUCAUUAUUGAAUCAACGGUCUUGGAGUCCUCUUGAGUUGAACCAAGACCUUACCUACCCUUGUGCACUGUAAAUGUUUUUUGGGACUAGAUCGGCUGUAUUUCGGUACAGCAAGAGAGUCCCAGCAGUAUUAAACACUUUUUAAUUUGUCUGAAUUGAACCAAAGAAUCGUAACAACUUUUGACAACGGAUCUCUUGGCUCUC
rnacentral:misc_RNA from 1 species